UACGUAGGGGGCAAGCGUUGUCCGGAUUUAUUGGGCGUAAAGAGCGUGUAGGCGGUCCGGUAAGUCAGCUGUGAAAGUCAAGGGCUCAACCCUUGAAAGCCGGUUGAUACUGUCGGGCUAGAGUCCGGAAGAGGCGAGUGGAAUUCCCGGUGUAGCGGUGAAAUGCGCAGAUAUCGGGAGGAACACCAAUGGCGAAGGCAGCUCGCUGGGACGGUACUGACGCUGAGACGCGAAAGCGUGGGGAGCAAACAGG
rnacentral:rRNA from 1 species